UACGUAGGGUGCAGGCGUUAAUCGGAAUUACUGGGCGUAAAGCGUGCGCAGGCGGUUUGCUAAGACAGGUGUGAAAUCCCCGGGCUUAACCUGGGAACUGCGCUUGUAACUGGCAGGCUUGAGUGCGGCAGAGGGGGGUGGAAUUCCACGUGUAGCAGUGAAAUGCGUAGAGAUGUGGAGGAACACCGAUGGCGAAGGCAGCCCCCUGGGUCGACACUGACGCUCAUGCACGAAAGCGUGGGGAGCAAACAGG
rnacentral:rRNA from 1 species